CAAUAGCGUAUAUUAAAGUUGUUGCAGUUAAAAAGCUCGUAGUUGGAUUUCUGGUGGGAGCGAUCGGUCUGGCGCUUAGCGCGAGUACUUGCAUCGUCUCCGGCCAUCCUUGGGGAGAGUCUGUCUGGCAUUAGGUUGUCGGGCAGAGGAUCCUCAUCGUUUACUGUGAAAAAAUUAGAGUGUUCAAAGCAGGCUUAUGCCGUUGAAUAUAUUAGCAUGGAAUAAUAAGAUAGGACUUUGGUACUAUUUUGUUGGUUUGCGCACCAAAGUAAUGAUUAAUAGGGACAGUUGGGGGUAUUCGUAUUCCGUUGUCAGAGGUGAAAUUCUUGGAUUUACAGAAGACGAACUACUGCGAAAGCAUUUACCAAGGAUGUUUUCAUUAA
rnacentral:rRNA from 1 species